rnacentral:lncRNA from 1 species
AAAAUUCUUUCUCAAACUUGCAAACCAUUUCAACGUCAUUCGAUAGCUUGUUAAACCUUCCAUCAAUCGUCAAAAAGAAAAGGACAAUAUGCCACCCUUCCCGAGUGGUGGCGCCGCCAGUUCUCAGUCGAAACUCCGGCGCAGAAGCCGAAGGUCUAAGGAGUCCCUCAUCUCCCGCCGGAAUCUCUCCGAUCUUCUUCUCUCUUUCACCAUCGUUCUGAACCCUUGUAAGGUCGGGUUCUGAAGCUUGCUUAUUUUCUUCCCUGCGGCGGGAACUCCUCCGAGAUUCUUUUUCCUUGGCAUCACUUUUCCCAAGAACACAGCCCAUUGCAAAAAAAUCAAAUAUUUCAAUAAACUAAACUCAAAUUUCAGCCGCCAUCAUCUUAUUUCAACAAAUUUAUCAGUUUCAAGAAAUCAAAUUUGAGACUUUUCUAUAAAAAAAACAAAAAUAAGCCCAAUCGGAAAAGCAGUUAGAUAUGCAAAACCGCUUUGCAUUUAUUCCUCCUUCCCCUUUGUGUAUGUUUUGAUUCAAUUGAAGACUAACAAUUCAACAGAAGAAAUCAUUUGAAUCAGAUACCCAGUGAAGCGAAAAAUUUACUAAUAACCACACAAAAGAACGCUGCUAUCAUAAUAGUCCGUGACAGACUGCAUCUGCAUUUAUUGCACUGUGUCUGUUUUGUAUAUUUUGAAUUCAAGAAAAUGAGGUCCCGAAGACAAUCAUAUUUGUGCUUCUGCAAAUAAACAAAACACAGAGAGAAGAAAAGUUGUGUCCUUUUCUUUUCGUAUUUGCGUCAGCAUUCGAUUGAUUAAUUAACAGUUUUUCAGGUUUAUUACUGGCAUCAAACUCAAAGUUUUUCAGAUAAAUAUUAAUGUUUCAACGAUUAAUUU